GCAGUGAGGAAUAUUGGUCAAUGGGCGCAAGCCUGAACCAGCCAUGCCGCGUGCAGGAAGAAUGCCCUAUGGGUUGUAAACUGCUUUUAUCAGGGAAUAAACCUCUUUACGUGUAAGGAGCUGAAGGUACCUGAUGAAUAAGCACCGGCUAACUCCGUGCCAGCAGCCGCGGUAAUACGGAGGGUGCAAGCGUUAUCCGGAAUCAUUGGGUUUAAAGGGUCCGCAGGCGGAUUUAUAAGUCAGUGGUGAAAGCCUGCAGCUCAACUGCAGAACUGCCAUUGAUACUGUAAGUCUUGAAUUCGGUCGAAGUGGGCGGAAUAUGACAUGUAGCGGUGAAAUGCUUAGAUAUGUCAUAGAACACCGAUAGCGAAGGCAGCUCACUAGGCCUGGAUUGACGCUCAGGGACGAAAGCGUGGGGAGCAAACAGGAUUAGA
rnacentral:rRNA from 1 species